ensembl:lncRNA
CUGAGGAAAAUAAAUCAGAACAAUCCACCCCAACCACAUUAAUAAACAAUAAAACCUCAAUCUGUAAUGUACAGGAUUACUCUAAAUAAAAGGUUGACAAUCAAGCAGUUUCAAAUAUGAUUAUUGCAUUCCAACUGCAUAUAAGACAAAUAUGUGUAGGAGAAGGUCAAAUAUAUAUAUAUAUAAAUAAAUAUAUAUAUUUAUAUCUCAAUGUAACACUGUUUCAAACCAAGGCAACAAUAAAAAGGCAAAAAAAUAAUAAAAAGGCAUCAACAUUUGUCCAGACACUCAUGUGGAUAUGUUGCAGUGAGUUUCCUCCUUUAAACAAAGUCACAAAUAUGUGUAACUGUGUUUGCAGUGUGUUCGACAGAUAAGUGGAGGAUGGUGAUUAGGUCCAAUCCCAUAAACCCCUAGCCCCAAGGAGAGGAGAGGGAAGAGAGGGGGGGGGCAGGGUAGAGGAGAAGAGGGGACGGGAGAGGGGAGGGUAGAGGAGAAGAGGGGACGGGAGAGGGGAGGGUAGAGGAGAAGAGGGGACGGGAGAGGAGAGGGUAGAGGAGAAGAGGGGACGGGAGAGGAGAGGGAAGAGAGGGGGGGCAGGGUAGAGGAGAAGAGGGGACGGGAGAGGGGAGGGUAGAGGAGAAGAGGGGACGGGAGAGGGGAGGUGGGGGGAGAGAAGAGAAGAGAGGGGGACGGUAGAGGAGAAGAGGGGACGGGAGAGGGGAGAGUGGGGGAGAGAAGAAGAGAAGAGAGGGGGGACGGUAGAGGAGAAGAGGUGGGGAGAGGGGAGGGUAGAGAGGGGGGCAGGGUAGAGGAGAAGAGGGGAGGGGAGAGGGCAGGGUAGAGGAGAAGAGGGGACGGGAGAGGGGAGGGUAGAGAGAAGGGGGGCAGGGUAGAGGAGAAGAGGGGAGGGAAGAGGGGAGGGUAGAGGAGAAGAGGGGACGGGAGAGGGGACGGUAGAGGAGAAGAGGGGACGGGAGAGGGGAGAGUGGAGGAGAGGAGAGGGGAUGUUAGAGGAGAAGAGGGGAUGGGAGAGGGGAGAGUGGAGGAGAGGAGAAGAGGGGAGGGGAUGUUAGAGGAGAAGCGAAGAGGCAUAUAAGGAAAUGAAUUUAGGGGAUAAGGAAAUCAAAUAAGGAGAAGAGGUUAGGAGACAAGGAGAUGAGACUUGACUGAAGACCGACUUAAAUGCUGGCUGUCCUGGGUAUCUCCUGGCUGUCUGCCAGAUUCAGCUUCUGACUUGUGGAGAGGAGAUUGGAGUCAAGGAGAACAGCUGAAACACACACACCUCAC